rnacentral:rRNA from 1 species
AUAAACGCUGGCGGCGUGCCUAAAACAUGCAAGUCGAACGGAUCACUUCGGUGGUCAGUGGCGGACGGCUGAGUAACACGUGGGUGACCUGCCCUCGAGCGGGGGAUAACUGCCCGAAAGGGUGGCUAAUACCGCAGAUGUCGUCCCUUCGUUGGGAUGACUGAACCGAAUCAGGGUUCGGGGAGGGGCCUGCGGCCGAUUAGCUAGCUGGUGGGGUAACGGCCUACCAGGGCGACGAUCGGUAGCUGGUCUGAGAGGAUGAUCAGCCAGACUGGGACUGCGAACGGCCCAGACUCCUACGGGAGGCAGCAGUUAGGAAUUUUGGGCAAUGGGCGAAAGCCUGACCCAGCAACGCCGCGUGGGUGAUGAAGGCCCUCGGGUCGUAAAGCCCUUUUCCCAGGGAAGAUGGUGACGGUACCUGGGGAAUCAGCCCCGGCUAACUACGU